rnacentral:rRNA from 1 species
GACGAACCGUGCGAACGUUGUUCGGAAUCACUGGGCUUAAAGGGCGCGUAGGCGGGCUCACAAGUCAGGGGUGAAAUCCCACGGCUCAACCGUGGAAGUGCCUUUGAUACUGUGGGUCUUGAGGGAGGUAGGGGCGUGCGGAACUUCCGGUGGAGCGGUGAAAUGCGUAGAUAUCGGAAGGAACACCGGUGGCGAAAGCGGCUCGCUGGACCUCUACUGACGCUGAGAAGCGAAAGCAUGGGGAGCGAAAAGG